CCACCACAUCGCCCUCGCGAAGGCGGGGGCCUAUGCCACUUCGCCGAAUUCGGACACGUGGUAUAGGCCCCCGCCUCCGCGAGGGCGAUGUUGGUC
rnacentral:pre_miRNA from 1 species